rnacentral:lncRNA from 1 species
CUUUGAUCUUACAGAUUUACCAAACCAGGGCAGCUCUAAUUUCUGGAAAUUCUUGCUAGUUUUUACUCUGACUUCCUCUGGUUAGGUGCCCCAGGAUUACACAAUCCUAUUUUGGGGGAUACUGAUGAUGUUUGCCUGGAAGGGGGAUUUUCCAUGACUGACACCGAGAAAGACAAAACAAGACCAAAUAUAUGAAAGCAUUUUAUAAGCUGUAGAGCACUGAGCAGGUGUCAGGAAAGGAGAUGAUGACUCAUUGUUUAGCCUUCAGUCACUCACAGAGCCAAGAGGAUUAUCCAGUCCAGUUCUUACAUCUCUUUUUACUACUACUGUUUAAUUCUUCCAGCCUUCUUAACUAGGUGAGGGUUUCUCAGAAUUCCUGGUCUUAGGAUCCCUUUAUUGUCUUAAAAAUUAUUGAGAACUGUAAAAAGCUUUUACUGGUGUAGGUUGCAUCUAUUGAUACUCAUUGCAUUAGAAAUUAAAACUGAAAAGUUUUUGAAACUCAAGAUGACACAGUCACACUUUAUAUUUAUUGUCAGGGUGAUGACAACAUCCUAUGUCUCUGUGCACUUGUGAGGGACUGCGAGCAAAAAAGGCAAAUAACAUUAUAGCAUUUUGGGGAGUCAGCUUCCAAGAUGGUCCCAGUAAUCCCUGUCCUCAGUAAUCACACCCUGUGUAUAAUCCCCUACAACACUGAAUCAGGGCUGUCGAUGUAACCAAUGGGAUGUAGCAGAAUCCAUGGUGUAUGGCAUCUGAAACUGUCAUAAAAGGCUCUGCAGCCUUGAUCUCUGGGGGG